rnacentral:rRNA from 1 species
GACAGAGGGUGCAAACGUUGUUCGGAAUUACUGGGCGUAAAGCGAGUGUAGGCGGUCUUGUAAGUCGGGUGUGAAAGCCCCGGGCUCAACCCGGGAAGUGCACUCGAAACUGCGAGGCUAGAGUAUCGGAGAGGUUGGUGGAAUUCUCGGUGUAGAGGUGAAAUGCGUAGAUAUUGGGAAGAACACCUGAGGCGAAGGCGGGUUGCUGGGCUGACACUGACGCUGAGGCGCGAAAGCCAGGGGAGCGAACGGG